UGCGCUGUCACGUGACAGAGGAGAGCGCCUCCCCUGCCCCUGAGAGCGGGGUAGGUGCGCCGUGCGAGGCGUGCGUCCCCCCGCCCUGUACCGGGGGGUGGGGUUGCCGCCUCGCGCCCUCAGGCUGAGGGGAGGCGAAAGUGUCCUUCGAGGCCCUGUCCCCAGGGCGGUGAGGGCUAAGCCCUCAGCUCCUGGAGUCCCCUGCUGAGGGCAGAGGUGCCGUUUCCCAGCCCCCAGUUAGAGCUGGCAACAGGCCUGAGUCUGCAGAGAGCCUGGUUCUGUAGCUGAGACAGGGCCCUGAAACAUCUCAGAACUGACUUCUCUGAUCCUCCAAUUGCAAAAGACAGUCUCACAAUGGGUGACAGAACACACUUUCUGAUUGAGGUGGGGUGGUGGCUCCCUGCUGAUUUAAUCUUUUAGGUUUCCCUUCUCCAUCAUCUCGUGCUGCAACGAUUUUGAUGUCGCUUGCAAAAAGGCCACUUUUGUCUGAGAGCCCUUCCCCCUCCCCCCGUCAAGGAGCUAUUUUGGGAAACAGCAGCUGAGCUGGAGGAUUGUUGUUUGUCAAACCCUUCCAGACCAGUUAGAUCCCAUGCAGAGAAUAGAGUGCAUAGUCACCUCCUUUCUUCUACCUCCUUUUCGUACCCCCCUGUGACCUGGGAGGAAAUGGGGAAUGCCCCUUUUCCAGGCAGGGAGAGAGACAUAGAACACCAUACAUUGACACACAAUCACAAACAACAGACAUACUCUAUAGUCAACCACAGCUGCGAGGACAACACUGAGACGUUCACAACAACCAGUCCAAGUUCAAAGAAAGACCCUGACACAUCCAGAAACAGAGCACACGCUAAACCAAUCAUGGCACAGGCUAUGAAGCACAGAAACAGUCUAAAACCAAUCUCAGCCCAGAGAGAAACAUCCACACACAUACACAUUCCCAUUAAUCAAAGCAGAGAGAGACUUCUCACACACAUACAACCACAACCCCAGAGACUGGCAGGCAGACAACAAAGCCACUCAGGGCUCUGACCUCAAAAGCCACCAUGUGACUCUGUCUGAAACUUACUGCAUUACAUCAGCCUGGGAAUGAAAGAAAAGUGCUGGGACCAAAAUAUUGGCCUUCUUAAAAGGGCAAUCGCAUCCAUAGUUUUAAGGAGGACUGGAUUGUUUCCUUGAGUGCUAUUCUCUUCUGCCUUCUUGCCUGGCUUGCAGAUGUCAUAGAGUUGUGGGAAGGGCAUGUUUAUAAUCAAACCCUUCUAUUUUGUGUAGUCUUAAAGCACAGGACCCAUUUAGGAUCAUGACAUAUGCUGAGGUAGA